UGGGACCUAACUGGAACACUUGCUACC
rnacentral:piRNA from 1 species